CCUACGGGAGGCAGCAGUGGGGAAUAUUGGGCAAUGGAGGCAACUCUGACCCAGCAACGCCGCGUGAAUGAUGAAGGUCUUCGGAUUGUAAAGUUCUGUGAUGGGGGAUGAACACAAUGACGGUACCCCAAUAGCAAGCCACGGCUAACUACGUGCCAGCAGCCGCGGUAAUACGUAGGUGGCAAGCGUUAUCCGGAAUGACUGGGUGUAAAGGGUGCGUAGGUGGUUUAGUAAGUUGGCGGUGUAAUUCCGGGGCUCAACCGCGGAGUUACCGCCAAAACUAGUAGACUAGAGUGCAGGAGAGGUAGGUGGAAUUCGUGGUGUAGCGGUGGAAUGCGUAGAUAUUAGGAAGAACUCCGGGGGCGAAGGCAACUUACUGGACUGUAACUGACACUGAGGCACGAAAGUGUGGGGAGCAAACAGGAUUAGAUACCCCGGUAGUC
rnacentral:rRNA from 1 species